rnacentral:rRNA from 1 species
GGCUCGGGCCGGGAUGUUCACAACCCUUUGUUGUCCGACUCUGUUGCCUCCGGGGCGACCCUGCCUCCGGGCGGGGGCCCCGGGUGGACAUUUCAAACUCUUGCGUAACUUUGCAGUCUGAGUAAAUUUAAUUAAUAAAUUAAAACUUUCAACAACGGAUCUCUUGGUUCUGGCAUCGAUGAAGAACGCAGCGAAAUGCGAUAAGUAAUGUGAAUUGCAGAAUUCAGUGAAUCAUCGAAUCUUUGAACGCACAUUGCGCCCCCUGGUAUUCCGGGGGGCAUGCCUGUUCGAGCGUCAUUUCACCACUCAAGCCUCGCUUGGUAUUGGGCGACGCGGUCCGCCGCGCGCCUCAAAUCGACCGGCUGGGUCUUUCGUCCCCUCAGCGUUGUGGAAACUAUUCGCUAAAGGGUGCCGCGGGAGGCCACGCCGUAAAACAACCCCAUUUCUAAGGUUGACCUCGGAUCAGGUAGGGAUACCCGCUGAACUUAAGCAUAUCAAUAAGCGGGGAA